CCUGCGUGCGCUUUACGCCCAGUAAUUCCGAUUAACGCUUGCACCCUACGUAUUACCGCGGCUGCUGGCACGUAGUUAGCCGGUGCUUAUUCUUCAGGUACCGUCAUUAGUAAUAGUUAUUCGCUACUACCGUUUCUUUCCCUGACAAAAGAGCUUUACAACCCGAAGGCCUUCUUCACUCACGCGGCAUUGCUGGAUCAGGGUUGCCCCCAUUGUCCAAAAUUCCCCACUGCUGCCUCCCGUAGGAUUCUGGGCCGUGUCUCAGUCCCAGUGUGGCUGGUCGUCCUCUCAGACCAGCUACUGAUCGUUGCCUUGGUAGGCUUUUACACCACCAACUAGCUAAUCAGAUAUCGGCCGCUCCAGGAGCAUGAGGUUUUGCGAUCCCCCACUUUCAUCCGUAGAUCGUAUGCGGUAUUAGCUAGUCUUUCGACUAGUUAUCCCCCACUCUAGGGCACGUUCCGAUAUAUUACUCACCCGUUCGCCACUCGCCAUCAGGAGCAAGCUCCUAUGCUGCCGUUCGACUUGCAUGUGUAAGGCAUGCCGCCGGCGUUCAAUCUGAGCCAGGAUCAAACUCUCCA
rnacentral:rRNA from 1 species